rnacentral:lncRNA from 1 species
GAAAUGUCCGUAGAAGUCUCGGCCUUCUUUUCCUUUGUUUUAGGAGAAGAGGAUGCUUGAAAUUAGUAAGUGGGCCCGGCAUCGAUUGGAUGUCGGAAAAAUCACAGGACCUGUCAGGGAUUUCGAGGAAUUCGGGGCAGGUCCUGUCAAUAAAUUUCAAGUUUCAAGUUUGAUUCAAGAUUCAUGAUCUUAUUCAUUAUGCCUACCUACCUAUAUGCUAAUCUAAAUGCCUAGCUACAAUUAAGAUUUGUG